UGGUGGGAACUCUGUGGAGACUGCCGGUGAUAAACCGGAGGAAGGUGGGGACGACGUCAAGUCAUCAUGGCCCUUACGGGAUGGGCUACACACGUGCUACAAUGGCGCGUACAAUGGGAAGCAAGCUAGCGAUAGUAAGCGGAUCUCAAAAAGCGCGUCGUAGUCCGGAUCGGAGUCUGCAACUCGACUCCGUGAAGUCGGAAUCGCUAGUAAUCGUGGAUCAGAAUGCCACGGUGAAUACGUUCCCGGGCCUUGUACACACCGCCCGUCACACCAUGGGAGUGGGCUGCACCAGAAGUGGAUAGUUUAACCUUCGGGAGAACGUUCACCACGGUGUGGUUCAUGACUGGGGUGAAGUCGUAACAAGGUAGCCGUAGGGGAACCUGCGGCUGGAUCACCUCCUUAUGAA
rnacentral:sRNA from 1 species